AUGAAAAUAUUUGUAUUGUGUGCUCUAGGAGCAAAUGCCGAAAUUGAGGCACUGAAGAAGGCUGUGGCCGAAGCCGACAAGAAGGCCGCCGCGGAGCAGGCUCUUCGUGAGAAGCACGAGGCCAUGGUCAUUGAAGCUGAACGAGAGCUCCAGGAGGCCGUGAAGAAAAGUGAGACCUUGGAGCAGAGUCUAGCAGGGAAAGAAUCCAAACUCGCCCAAGCUCUCCAAGCCGCAAAUGAUGCUCGGGAGGAAGCCCGAGGUGCUCUGAAGGACAUUCAGGAGGCAAGGAGGAUUGCGGCUGGUAAGGCUUUUUUACUCAAAGCGAUUUUUAUAUAG
rnacentral:rRNA from 1 species